rnacentral:lncRNA from 1 species
AUGCCGGCCAACUGGUUGCCUGGAGGAGUCGGGAAAGCGCUUCCACCGCUCUUCAUUCAUUCAUUCCCACAAAGGCAAGGUUCCCUUCGCCCCGGCGCCUCCAUCCUGCCAUCCCAGGGGGCCAAUUGCGCCACAGCUCACCACCCAGCCACCCACAACCACGGCGUCCUAUCCCCGGCACACACAACCCAACAGACUCGCAUUCCAUCUCUACUGCCAGUAUCGCCUCCGCGCCCGGGCCGCUGCCACCCGGCUCCCCAGCUUCGCCACCCCGCAGCCCCGGCUCCCCGCCUCCAGCCACAGCGCGCGGCUCAGACCUGCCUCGCUCGGCUCGCCGCGCCCAGGCCAGCCAGGGACGCCGCCGCCGCCGCCACCACCGCCGGGAAGCGCCGGCAACUCCCGAGUCACGCCGCCUCCCGAGAAGCGGCGGGCGCAGGGAGGGGACAGCAGUGGGGGCGGGGCGGGGAGGAAGGAGGCGGAGGGGGCGGGGAGCAAAAGUUCACACCGCUCUGGACUCAGCCGCGCCCCCUUCUUUUCCCAGGCCCGCCCCCACGAUCCCCGCUCCCUGAACCGGGUGCCACCGGCAUCUGCACCGGAGAGCUCUGUCCUCCCGCCCGGAACGGCCACAAGGCUAGAGCUGGGGUUCUGGAAGCGGAUCCGAGCUGGAGACCGGGGAGAGUGGCAGAUGCCCACUUAACUGCCCCGGGUUGCGCCUGGAAACUUCCCCAAAGUGCGAAGGGGGUGUGGGGGCGGAGCACCAGGCUGGGGGGAUUCCCUGUCCCCCACCACCAAACGAUGCGUGAUCGCACCGUGAAAGCACCAGUCGGUGGGUCGAUCGGUCCCCCGCCUGCGGCUCCCAGAGCUGGGCGGUGCAGGGGCGCCCCGAUUCCGUCUCCUGGGGUCCUUCUCUCGGACAGCCAGCCGGUGCGUGCCCCGCGGGGUGCGCCCCCCGCCGGCUGCCGGAUAUCCACGGCGCCACCACGCCACCACUCUUCCCGGUCCCCUGGCUCCGGCCGCGUCCUCUCUGCGAGGGAGGGGGCGUGCGUCACCGCUGAGCAACCCUUCCAAUGGGGUCCCCAAGCGCGCAGGGUGCCCGGAGCGCGGCCAGGACCAAUGGCAAAGGGACGCCUUCCGCUGGGGAUCGCAGAAGCCUAG